GGAGUUUCAUCUCUGGAAAAAGCGUUCACAACCAGAGGGUUGGAACAAUCAUUCCAUUCGUUCAGAGGGCAACCACACACCAAACCAGCUUUGGACAGUUGGCUUGAUGCAAACACCUGCCAACCCUCCAGAUUACAUUGAGGGACUAAGCAUUACACCUGGCGCCUGGGAGAGCACAGACAUCACUCAAGAUGGCCACACUGGUGUUGUCGUCCCAGCAAUCGAAUGUCCCCUGGACGAGAACAAAAUGGCUGUUGGUAUUGAUACAGCACAUUCACUAGCAGCUAUGUGACUU